GCAAGCCUGACGGAGCAACGCCGCGUGAGGGAUGGAGGCCUUUGGGCUGUAAACCUCUUUUCUCAAGGAAGAAAAUCUGACGGUACUUGAGGAAUAAGCCACGGCUAAUUCCGUGCCAGCAGCCGCGGUAAUACGGGAGUGGCAAGCGUUAUCCGGAAUUAUUGGGCGUAAAGCGUCCGCAGGCGGCCGUUUAAGUCUGUUGUUAAAUCGUGGAGCUCAACUCCAUCACGGCAAUGGAAACUGCUCGGCUUGAGUAUGGUAGGGGCAGAGGGAAUUUCCGGUGUAGCGGUGAAAUGCGUAGAUAUCGGGAAGAACACCAGUGGCAAAAGCGCUCUGCUGGGCCAUUACUGACGCUCAUGGACGAAAGCCAGGGGAGCGAAAGGGAUUAGAUACCCCUGUAGUCCUGGCCGUAAACGAUGAACACUAGAUGUUGGGGGAAUCGACCCCCUCGGUGUCGUAGCUAACGCGUUAAGUGUUCCGCCUGGGGAGUACGCACGCAAGUGUGAAACUCAAAGGAAUUGACGGGGGCCCGCACAAGCGGUGGAGUAUGUGGUUUAAUUCGAUGCAACGCGAAGAACCUUACCAAGGCUUGACAUCCUGCGAAUCUCUAAGAAAUUAGAGAGUGCCCUUUGGGAACGCAGUGACAGGUGGUGCAUGGCUGUCGUCAGCUCGUGUCGUGAGAUGUUGGGUUAAGUCCCGCAACGAGCGCAACCCACGUUUUUAGUUGCCAGCAUUCAGUUGGGCACUCUAGAAAGACUGCCGGUGACAAACCGGAGGAAGGUGUGGACGACGUCAAGUCAUCAUGCCCCUUACGCCUUGGGCUACACACGUACUACAAUGCUGCGGACAAAGAGUAGCGAUCUUGCAAAAGUUAGCUAAUCUCGUAAACCGUGGCUCAGUUCAGAUCGUAGGCUGCAACUCGCCUACGUGAAGGAGGAAUCGCUAGUAAUCGCAGGUCAGCAUACUGCGGUGAAUACGUUCCCGGGCCUUGUACACACCGCCCGUCACACCAUGGAAGUUGGCC
rnacentral:rRNA from 1 species